rnacentral:rRNA from 1 species
CAGCAGCGCGGUAAUACCGAGGGUGCGAGCGUUAAUCGGAUUUACUGGGCGUAAAGCGUGCGUAGGCGGCUUCUUAAGUCGGAUGUGAAAUCCCUGAGCUUAACUUAGGAAUUGCAUUCGAUACUGGGAAGCUAGAGUAUGGGAGAGGAUGGUAGAAUUCCAGGUGUAGCGGUGAAAUGCGUAGAGAUCUGGAGGAAUACCGAUGGCGAAGGCAGCCAUCUGGCCUAAUACUGACGCUGAGGUACGAAAGCAUGGGGAGCAAACAGGAUUAGAUACCCCUGUAGUCCCUGUCUCUUAUACA